CCAACAGCCUAGAGACAAAAGUGAGGUUAAGUUGAACCUGACGAGGACCCGUCAAAGCGAUAUUGAUGUAGUUCGGAGACUGCUAUGCCCGAACAACACCCUAUCACCCCGACAACCCAAAAUCAACACUACUUUUUCGAAAAUCCUCGAGCCACGACGGUAGAGUUCAAAAUUCUUAGUUUUUUUCCCUGUAAGAAGAAAAGAACAAAAACAAAAUGUCUUGCUGCGGUGGACCUUGCUGCUCUCCUUGCUGUGCGCCAUGUUGCGCGCCAUGUUGUGCCCCCUGUUGUGUACCCUGCUGCUGCCCACCGCCCUGCGUUUAUGUACCAUGUUGUGUACCAUGCUGUGCUCCAUGCUGCUCCCCAUGUUGCCCACCCUGCGGCAAGAAGUGCUGCUAACAGCGCCCUAAAGACACCGAGGAAAAUACUACACAUUUUGAAAUCACAUUUCGGCCUGUUUAGUAUAAAUUUUCUGUAAUUAAAAUGUAAUAAAUGGUAUUUGCCUCUACAUAUAUUUUAUGUGCAAAACUGAAUGAUAUGCAAACUCUUGACAUGUAAAAAUAAACAUUCAAAAACCAUAA